AGCAGUUAUGCCACCGAAGCCCGACACGCUGUCAAGACUGCAUUUUAAGUUAGAGACAUGAAAAUGUAACACAGGCUGGUCCAACAUGUCAAAGCUAAUAGCAUACACAAUUAUUGCGAACAAGGUAAGGUAGCUAGGCAUGGUGGCUGACUCUGAACAGGAACAUUGCAUAUUAGGGCAUAUUUAUUGGAGUGUGGCCACGGAUCCUGAGC